rnacentral:rRNA from 1 species
UAAGCGGAGGAAAAGAAACCAACCGGGAUUGCCCUAGUAACGGCGAGUGAAGCGGCAAGAGCUCAAAUUUGAAAGCUGGCCCCCUCGGGGUCCGCAUUGUAAUUUGCAGAGGAUGCUUCGGGAGCGGUCCCCAUCUAAGUGCCCUGGAACGGGCCGUCAUAGAGGGUGAGAAUCCCGUAUGGGAUGGGGUGUCCGCGCCCGUGUGAAGCUCCUUCGACGAGUCGAGUUGUUUGGGAAUGCAGCUCUAAUUGGGUGGUAAAUUUCAUCUAAAGCUAAAUAUUGGCCGGAGACCGAUAGCGCACAAGUAGAGUGAUCGAAAGAUGAAAAGCACUUUGAAAAGAGAGUUAAACAGCACGUGAAAUUGUUGAAAGGGAAGCGCUUGCGAUCAGACUCGCUCGCGGGGUUCAGCCGGCCUUCGGGCCGGUGUACUUCCCCGCGGGCGGGCCAGCGUCGGUUUGGGCGGCCGGUCAAAGGCCCCUGGAAUGUAACGCCUCUCGGGGCGUCUUAUAGCCAGGGGUGCCAUGCGGCCUGCCCGGACCGAGGAACGCGCUUCGGCUCGGACGCUGGCAUAAUGGUCGUAAGCGACCCGUCUUGAAACACGGACCAAGGAGUCUAACAUCUACGCGAGUGUUCGGGUGUCAAACCCGUGCGCGCAGUGAAAGCGAACGGAGGUGGGAACCCCUCGGGGUGCACCAUCGACCGAUCCUGAUGUCUUCGGAUGGAUUUGAGUAAGAGCGUAGCUGUUGGGACCCGAAAGAUGGUGAACUAUGCCUGAAUAGGGCGAAGCCAGAGGAAACUCUGGUGGAGGCUCGCAGCGGUUCUGACGUGCAAAUCGAUCGUCAAAUUUGGGUAUAGGGGCGAAAGACUAAUCGAACCAUCUAGUAGCUGGUUCCUG